UGGCGAACGGGUGAGUAACACGUGAGUAACCUGCCCCAGACUCUGGGAUAACCUCGGGAAACCGGGGCUAAUACCGGAUAUGCAGCGUUCCCGCAUGGGAUGCGUUGGGAAAGUUUUUCGGUCUGGGAUGGACUCGCGGCCUAUCAGCUUGUUGGUGAGGUAGUGGCUCACCAAGGCGACGACGGGUAGCCGGCCUGAGAGGGCGACCGGCCACACUGGAACUGAGACACGGUCCAGACUCCUACGGGAGGCAGCAGUGGGGAAUAUUGCACAAUGGGCGCAAGCCUGAUGCAGCGACGCCGCGUGGGGGAUGAAGGCCUUCGGGUUGUAAACCCCUUUCAGCAGGGAAGAAGCGAAAGUGACGGUACCUGCAGAAGAAGCGCCGGCUAACUACGUGCCAGCAGCCGCGGUAAUACGUAGGGCGCAAGCGUUGUCCGGAAUUAUUGGGCGUAAAGAGCUCGUAGGCGGUUUGUCGCGUCUGCUGUGAAAACCCGAGGCUCAACCUCGGGCCUGCAGUGGGUACGGGCAGACUAGAGUGUGGUAGGGGAGACUGGAAUUCCUGGUGUAGCGGUGGAAUGCGCAGAUAUCAGGAGGAACACCGAUGGCGAAGGCAGGUCUCUGGGCCACAACUGACGCUGAGGAGCGAAAGCGUGGGGAGCGAACAGGAUUAGAUACCCUGGUAGUCCACGCCGUAAACGGUGGGCACUAGAUGUGGGGCUCAUUCCAUGAGUUCCGCGUCGCAGCUAACGCAUUAAGUGCCCCGCCUGGGGAGUACGGCCGCAAGGCUAAAACUCAAAGGAAUUGACGGGGGCCCGCACAAGCGGCGGAGCAUGCGGAUUAAUUCGAUGCAACGCGAAGAACCUUACCAAGGCUUGACA
rnacentral:rRNA from 1 species